UGGGGAAAGACCUGGGUCGUGGUGGUAGCACCCCUACACCCUAGUCAUCAUAUUGUAGUUUUCAUUUUCACUGUGAAAUGUUUUGGGGAGUUGAAAAUAAGUAUAGAUCCGGAGAUUCCCCAAUGGGUCAAUCUUUUGAACUGCUGCUGAAUCCAUGGGCAGGCAAGAGACAACCUGACAAAGUGAAACAUCUUAGUAGUCAGAGGAAAAUAAAGCAAAAGUAAUUCCCGUAGUAGCAGCGAGCGAAAUGGGAGCAGCCUAAACCGUGAAAACGGGGUUGUGGGAGAACAAUACAAGCGUCGUGUUGUUAGGCGAAGCGGUUGAGUACUACACCCUAGAUGGCGAGAGUCCAAUAACCGAAAGCAUCACUGGCUUAACUUCUAAAUUAUUUGGAAAAAUAUGUAAGGCCCCAUCUUCCCCA
rnacentral:ncRNA from 1 species